rnacentral:rRNA from 1 species
UACGUAGGUGGCAAGCGUUGUCCGGAUUUACUGGGUGUAAAGGGCGCGUAGGCGGGAUAGCAAGUCAGUCGUGAAAUGCUGAGGCUUAACCUCGGAGCUGCGAUUGAAACUGUUAUUCUUGAGUAUCGGAGAGGAAAGCGGAAUUCCUAGUGUAGCGGUGAAAUGCGUAGAUAUUAGGAGGAACACCAGUGGCGAAGGCGGCUUUCUGGACGACAACUGACGCUGAGGCGCGAAAGUGUGGGGAGCAAACAGG